rnacentral:lncRNA from 1 species
AGGAAGAGGCCAGGAGAGAAGUCAGAGAAGGAACAAAGCUUGGAGUGGAAAAUCUGAUGGAGAAUUCAAGUGUCAGGGUCAUCUGACCAGCAUCCUGACUCACUGGCUCACAGUGUGAGGCUGUGGAGGCUGCUGCUCUUCUCAGAACCUUUCUCUUGGGUCCUGAGACACUGGUUAGCACAAGCUGCACACAGUACUCAGCAGGGUUCCUGCUCGCUCUCGAAAGCCAUACUAUAUUGCUGAAGAAAGUCGAGGCAGAAUCCUGGAGCCAGGAGUUGAUGCAGAGACCAUAGAAGAUUGCUGCUUACUGGCUUGCUCCCAGUGGCUUGUUCAGCCUGCUUUCCUAAAGAUCCCUGGAUCACCAGCUAAGGGUGGCCACACUCACAAUGACCUGGACCCCUCCUACAUCAAUCAAUAAUUAAGAAAAUGUCUUUCAGGCUUCCCCUUUCUCAUUGGAGGGAUUUUCUCAGUUGAGAUUCCCUCUUUCAGAUAACUCUACCUUGUGUAAAGUUGACGUAGGACUAGCCAGGCAAAGAGGGCUAAGAGCACCAUCUACUAUCUCAGGUGGUAUCCAGAUACCUGAAAUAUAACUGUACCAACAUACCUGGACAGGGCUUCUAAUACAGGCAAGCAAGCAAGAGUCUUCAAGUGUUGGAGGGAAGAAUUCUUUGGUGUGUCUCAGCAUGUGUGUGUGUGUGCGUGUGCGUGUGUGUGUGUGUGUGUG